GGGGUGAGACUUUAGAGGGUCAAGACUCCACACACACAGAGAGAAGAGAGAGAGAGAGAGAGAGAGAGAGAGAGAGAGAGAGAGAGAGAAAUGGAAGGAAUCGGAAUGCAGAUAGGAGUGCCAGUAGCAGCCAUCAUAGCAGUUGCUGCAGUCACGUUCUACGCAGUUAGCUUUUCUGAAAUUCGCGAGAAAUCUUUUAAAGAAUAUGAAGACAAGGAAGACGAAGAUGGCAUGGGAUUUCAGUCCUCUAUGAGCUCCAGAGAGCGCCGCGCUCGCAGAAAAGCUAACAAGAAAUCCAACACUUGAGAGUAAACUCUGAAAUCCCCCACACUCCCUCCGUCCCAGAUUAGUUUUUCAAAAUUAUGGGGCUAACAAGAAUAGCUCCAAUGGGCAUGUAAGCUGAAGAUAGAGCCUGCAAAAGCAACGGAAAUAAACAACCAAGUACCUAAAGCACAAAGAGACCGAGAUAUUAAAACAGGAUGUCUACCUUGGCCAUGGAGACAAGGUCUGGCUUAAGGUUGUAUUUAUCAGAACCAAACAUUUCUCCAAGUCUUCCAAACGCACAGAUAACCUACAGUGGACAAAACAGAAGGACGGGGGAAAAGUUUGCAUGAACAAGAGGAUGAAAGUUAAGAAGCGGACAGCACAAUAGUUAUCUCCUCGUCCCGUAAGAGGAAAAGUUUGCAUGAACAAGGGAAAAGAAGUGUAUGUAUAUAUACACAAUUUAUAUAACACAUACCUCAUCUGCAAUCAAGAGGAUGUCAUAUUUCUUCAA